AUAACUACUAAGUAUAUUUAGGACUGCACCAGCACUUUUACAUAGGACACCCACCAGCGAUGCAGGUACAAACACACCCUGCCCCCUUCCAUCCACCUGGAAACUAAACGCCUCCGUCCCAUCCUCCAUGACGUCCUGGUCCCCCCUCCCCCACCUCCUGCUGGACCUGCGGUCCAGGACAGAACAACCCAGAACUGACAGAAUCACACAGAGGAGAGACGACGACACAAAUUUCUCACGGCACCUUACUCUUCUGCUGUGAUGUUGCUCAUCGGCGAGAACGUCUGCCCAGUCGAGGACAUUUUUAUUACUGGUGAUGAUGAAGAUGAGAGGACAGCCGCAGCUCUUCCCUCCACCUUCUUCCCCGCUUUUUGUUUGGUUUUUGUUGUCCUGGACCGGGGAGAUAAUCAGAAACAGGCGGGGGCAGCAGCAGACGUUUUUUUCUCUUCCAGAAAUGUUUUUAAGCCUUGUGAGGUUUUGUAUUUACCACAACACAAACGGGAAACGGACUGACGUAAAAGAUUGAGAGCGUGACAGAGGAGGGAGGCGACGACGUGAGGGGACUUUUAGCAAAAAAAAUUUUAAAACUCAAUCUAGUAGUGAAAAUCUGCCCCUUAGCCCUUCUUCUCUCCUGUAGGAAAAUAUAAUUAAUAAAAAAAAUGGACAAGACAAAAAAAAGUUUAAAAACAAUGACUAA